AGUGACAAUUAAUCAGGGGAGAUCACUUUUAAGAACUUUAUGAAUGGUGUUCUUUUUAGACCUAAUUCUUUGUUUUAAUUGCAAUUUAAAGGUUGAUGACCAUACAUCCAGUUCACACGUCUUAAAGAUGAGCAGUUGCCUGUGAUAAGAAGUAAUCGAUCGGCCAGUUAACGUUUGUGAAGAAGAAAACAACUUUGAAUGUAGUGUUUAACAAGAGCCAGUUAUGCCUUGGAGUGCCUUGCAACCAAAGAUGAGUUUAUAGAUCAGGGGAAAGAACUGUCAUCAGAGGAGUCAGAAAUACAGAAGGCUGUAUUUGGUCCCUGUAUGAACAUUGUAUCCGGAUGUGAGCAAAUCUGCAAAUCUCUCCGUGACAACACUAACGACCCAGAGAAUUCCCACUAUGUACACAAAAUCCUCUCUUGCCAGACUUGCAUCGUCUAAACUACAAAACAUCUCAGACAUGAGCUUCAAAAACAACUCCACAUGGAUUUCCAAAUGAGAGGUUUUAGUCCUACAAAGGGGGACAACAGUUUUAGGGAUGUUUACUCUUGAGAUGAUAGUCAGCAUGAUUUAUCUCCCUUGGGUGGAAGUUUGCAACUGCCAUAUGUUGCAGAGAAUCAUGGGAUGGAAGAGCAUUAUCGAAAGAAGACCAAAAUCAACUGUAACAGACAUGUCCUUAGCUACAGCCAGGAAUUUCUAGAUAGACAGAGCUUUUGUUUUGAUCAGGUUGAUUUUAGUUCAUUUGAGCGUGGAGUAUGCAGAUAGUGAGCUUUUCAUGUACAGUACUAGUCAUUAGUAACUUACCCUAGUUCUUUUUGCAAAAUGUAAUUUCCUGACACAAACUCAUCAUGCAAAUAUUACUGCUCGUGUUUUUAAUUUAUGAACACUAGUGAUGCCCUAGUGCAAAAUAAGUUUGAACUAAAGGUAAAGAUAGAUAAAACAUUUUAGCUUACCUUAACACACGAUGCCCGUGGGUACGUUUUGUGAUCACUUUUUGUAAUCUUUCCUUCAGUCUGUAGAUGCAUCCUGUCUGACAUGAAAUUUUAAUUGAAACCGCACCUAAAUGAUAUGGGAGAUUUUCACCUCACAUCAAUUGAAUGAUUUGUGGGUGUUCUGCUCUCAAAGUUGUUCAAAUUGUUCGAGUGCCUGUUUUUUGUGUUGGUGAAUGAGAUGGUGUAUAGAUCCUUACAGGGUUUACAUGAACAUGAUUUGAAUCAUUGUACUUUAGAGCCGCAAGGCCUUGAUGUUUCAUUGUUAGUAUGUAACGUCAUUUAGCCACCUUAACAACUAUUGUUAAUAUUAUAACCGCCUUGGGCUUUACUUGAUUUCAGAAAUUACUUUUGAAAUCUCCGCUUAAAAAACAUAGUACGGUUGUUUCCUUUUUGUUUGUUUUACAUCACACAUUAUCCUUCUAAGAAUAUUUUUUUGUGAUAUAAACUAAUAUUAUGAAGCUUGAACCAAGGUCACGUUACUCAAAGGUAUAAACUUAAUGCAAAAAUGUGUCCUCAGAAACAGUAAUGUCCAAACAUUUGUGUGAAGUAAGUGACGUCCAAAAAGAAUAUUCUGUCCUUACACAUACAGUCAAAUCUGGCCAUUUCUGUGUGGGUCAAAUUCUAGUUAGGUUUCAAAACCUCUGGUGAGCAUGACAUGGCCCUCAAGGGCCCUUAUGGUUUGCUUUCCCAUUGAUUUAUGACAAUGCUCUUUUGACAUUUUCAAAAAGUAAUUACAAACCUAUUUAUUUUAAUUGUAAAUUUAACAGCAGUAUGAAAUACAAUAAUAUGAUUCUCUGGAGAUACACUGUAACACUGAACUAAAAUAAAAUUGUGUAUAAAAUUCUUCAGUUUUAUGUAAUAUCUGUUCAAAUAUCCCAUAUUGUUUAAGUGAUGCAUAAGAAAUAGUUGAUAACACUGUGAACCACCAUGCAUCAUGUUGUUCACUGUUAAAGGUGAGAAUCAACUACACAUAUAUGUUGUGUAUAAUAAAUAUUUAUUCUAUAGUAUAUGUUAAAUGUAGUUAAAUGAGUUUUACUCUCUGACUAGUGUUUGUUUUGAAACUACUUUCAGGUGCAAUAUAUAUACGUUGUAUUGUAUUUUCCAAAUCCUCAAAUUGAAAGUAUGUUGAAAUUGUAUGUUUAAAGAUUUAAAAAAAGAUUCGACGACUGUUUUGUUGCUUAUAUAUAUGUUAAUAAUCUUUUAUUAAUCUUGCUUCGUAUAAGUAAAGUGGUACACAUUGAUGAGAUGUAUAUUUGUGUAUAUUUGUUCAUUCAUCUGACUUUUUUUUCGGAUUUUUUUUAUGUUUGAAUAGACAAAGAUAAUUUACAGGUAGUGUUUCGAAUAAAUGUUGAAUCAUUAUAUUAUUACAUAUGUAUUGUAUUUUUUUAGUUGUUGCAAAUUCAGUGACUUUACAGUAUUACUUGUUAGUUUUCUUACAAUCAUUGUAAAUAAGAACUAUGCAUUUAGAAAAUAUCAACAUUAGUUGGACUGACAAUUUUAACAAUUUUGAGUGCAAUAUUGUCAUACUGAUGACUACUGAUACUAUUAUUCUAAACAUGCCUUUAUUGACAACCCAGAAAUUGAUAACUCCCGGAUUACUGAUCCUGAAUUUUUGCACGCACCACCAUUACUUGUUUUCAAUCCUUUAGCUUGGAAAUAAUUUUUUUCUUUAGUUGAAGUUAGACGUUAUUAAAUGUGUUGAUUUAAAGGGGUAUAUCAAAGGUACCUUAUACCUUAUUAUAUUACAUUUGUUAAUCUUUUUAUGCCCCCGGUAGGGUGGCAUAUAGCAGUUGAACUGUCCGUCAGUCAGUGUGUCUGUCUGUCCGUCCGAAAAAAAACUUUUACCGUUGGCCAUAACUUUUGAAUUAUUCAAGAUAGCAACUUGAUAUUUGGCAUGCAUAUGCAUCUCAUGGAGCUGCACAUUUUGAGUAGUAAAAUCAUGCAGUAGGCAGCAUUGUGUUUCUGACAAACACAUUGUGGUAAAAGGUCAAUGUCAUCCUUUACGGUCUACGGUAAAAAAUACAGAUUUAAGGGAAGUAAUAAGCUUUAAAAAAGGAGAAAAAUAUUCAAUAUUGAACAUAGCCACUUUAUAUAUUUUGCAUGCAUGUGUAUCUCAUGGAGCUGCACAUUUUGAGUGGUGAAUCUACAGUCACGGUAGUGGCUUUUAAUUAUUUGCUACUAAAAAUAGAGAUUUGUUACAGACAAUUAUUUUCAAGGGAAGUAAUUUAUAUAAUUAUAAAUAUCAUAUUAUAUAUUUCCUUACCAAGAAUUGAAGUUCUUUUCACAGUUACUGUACAGAUUUAUUAUUUUGA